CGGCUUCCCUUCCCCAAAACCUUUGGUCCAUGCCACUGUGAAACCUGACCUGCCACUGACAACAGCACCGGCUAUGCAAAAGCACCAAACGUUUGCCAAGUUUUUUUAGCCGUCUGCUCCCACUUGCUUCACACUGCGAGAACUAUUGCAUAGUGAGCCUUCAUUUUUGCCCUGCGUGUGGGAAUUCCCCCUCCCCCUGCUUUGGCUUUGAAGGAAGAGAACUGACAACAGAAUGGAGAGCAGAGGACUUUCCCAGGGACGAAAACGGAGCUGCGGGCUCUGGUGCAUUACACCGUAGCCCAGUGGGGUCCACACAGCAUAGCUGAACCCAUUCCUCUCCACCCUCAGAAAUCUGGAUAAGGACUGCUAGAACUUUAAUGAAGAGUCAUAAUGAGUUACUAUAGCAGAGUUUAAAAAGCAACUGACAAAAAUUUGAAGAGGACCAAGGCAGAAGGAAAACAGAAAGUAAAACAAAGCACCACAAUAAAGGACACUUUUCUGCA